rnacentral:rRNA from 1 species
CCAGCUUGCUGGAUGUCCUUAGUGGCGCACGGGUGAGUAACGCGUGGGAACCAACCCUGAAGUGAGGAAUAACUACUGGAAACGGUAGCUAAUACCGCAUACGCCCUACGGGGGAAAGGCUUCGGCCGCUUUUGGACGGUCCCGCGUCUGAUUAGCUUGUUGGUGAGGUAAUGGCUCACCAAGGCGACGAUCAGUAGCUGGUCUGAGAGGAUGAUCAGCCACACUGGAACUGAGACACGGUCCAGACUCC